GCAAGAACUAGACAUGCCAGGCGGAACUAGCAACCCAAUACUAAAGAAAAUACACCAGCCAGAUUUUGCAUGGGUCAAACUUCUAUUGUGGCUCUGGUAAUGAGUGUAAGGGUUGAGGGAAUGGCUUCUCAGGAGGUCACUCGGCUGGCAAGAACUAGACAUGCCAGGCGGAACUAGCUACCCAAUACUAAAGAAAAUACUGGACUAAAUGUUGAAAAGAAAUGGAGUAGGCACAGAUAAUGAGGGUAAUUAUCCUCACUUCCCUUCCCCAUCCCUUCAAAGGUACUGUUAACUUCUUAUCAGCGAAUACGAGUUAUUUCGGAAAUGUCUUCAAAGUCAGUCAUUCGGAUUUUGGUAAUCUCGUUUGUUUUAAGUACAUGCAGUGGUAGGUUAGUAGGUAGGAACAGAGAUUAUA